CUUUGUCUCCAUUUCUCUUUCCGUCAUAUUGUUUUCUCUCUCUAUUUCUCUGUAUCGUUUUCUCUCUCCAUCCUACAUCUAGGGUUUUCUCUGCCUCCUCAUGCCCCUUGAGAGGUUCACCAAGAGGAAGAUGGUUCGGUUAAGUUGCACAAAUCUGCGGGGUUAUGAGACCGAGGAGUGAAGAAGGAUCAAGAUCAUCGGGAUCGAGACAGGGACUGAGACUGAUCGAGUUGGAGCAAGAGGAAACCAGCUGAUGAAAUGAUAGGCUGUUCCAAGAAAGCUCGAGCGCGAUGGCGUUGGAUGCGCUCUACCUGUUGAAGCUCCUCCUCAGGUCUGGCCCUCCCGUCGCUACCAUCCCUCAGAUAUUGGCCAACAAUAGUUUCUUCCUGAACUGCAAUAACCUAACCAUUGUAGCUGGUUCUUAUGAAGGCAAGUAUCUUGUUUAUUGUUGGAACAUGUCAUAUUCUGGUUGGACUUUCAUUUUGCCACUGUUGAAUUAAGAACUCACAAAAUGACAGCAUUUGCUGGGGCCCACAUAAUAGAAGAAUUUCUGGCUUUCUACUUCAUAUAUCCUUUAAUCCUUAGGCCCCAUAACCAUAUAGA